CUCCUAGGGAGGAGGGCGGCCCUUUGCAGUGGCCCGCUCCCUCCAGGACACCUCUCCGUCUUGGUGGCUCCUUCACCGGGUCCCUGCCUCUGCAGGCCUGUCCAGUCCUAUCUUGAAUCACUCCUGGGCACGUGCGGCUGCCUUAUGCCGGUAUCUGACUGGCGCCACUCUGUACUGUUUUCCUAGGGACAUAUGGGAGAGGCUUUUCUCUGCGUCAGUGCGGGGCUGGAGUGGAGCUUCCUGUGACCCGACUCCCCGGCUUUGAUCUCACUGAGUCUGAGACGGGCCCUGGGUGGGAAAGUUCAGAGUCAGGGGUUGUGGCGGAAGGCCUGAAAUAGAGACCAUCUGAUUUGGGGACUCCGGAACCAGAGUCCACGUUCUAAGAAGGCCCCGUUUGGGGGUGGUGGGGGCGGGGCUGCCUCCUGUGACUAGCGGGGAGCCCCAGCCCUGGGUCUCCUUCAUCUGUUACUGGAACCACAGCUUGUGGUCCAGUCUUCUGACUGCGGUCCACUCUGCUCCCCUGGUAGGGUGUAGGAGGUCACCCAAAGUCUGGAAGAAGUAGAAACUUCGGUGAGGGUGUGCGGUGAAGGAAAAUGCAGACACCAUCUCAGCUCGUGGCUUCCCAAGACACGGAGCGUGGGUUUCCUGGUGUGGAAUCCCGGGAGAAGUCGGAGCCCCACCCCCAGGCCUCCUCAUCCCAGCCUGGAUGGGCAGCACCGGUGGGCUGCCCGCAGGGUCUGCCCGUGGACACUUAGAACUUGGCUGUGAUUUCUGAACAUUUUCUUGCUUCUGCUGGAGCGCUGCACUCACAUUGUCUGGAAUGGAAGACUGUGUGGAAUUGCCGGGCUUGGUAACGGAGGCCGGCAGUCCCAGCGGCUACAGAAGCUGAUGCAAGAGGAUCACAAGUUCAAGUUCAGCUCCACCUAAUUCACAAAACCUUUCCGUGUGUCUGCCCUGAGGACACAGAGGGAGGAGACAGACCUACUCCAUGCAGGACCUCAGUUCACGGUGGGAAGCAGAAAGGAGAGACAAUACCACAGCCACGUGGUCUCUGGUAGUGGAAGACUGGAGACUGGAUGGUAAUUGAAGAGGCGGUCACAAGUGCUGGUGAGGAUGUCCCCUCAGGAGCCACAACCCUGCGUGGCCAGCCAGGAGCGUCUCCCAGGAAGCUGAUGAUGCCCGUUCCCUACAAUAAAAGCAAAUCUGCUUUAUGUUCUCUUUCUCUCUUGAAAGUUUUUCAGAUUUGUUUAAGUGUGCGAGUACUUUGUAUGCAUGUAUGUGCACCUUAUGCAUGCCUGGUCCCUGAGAAGGUCAGAAGAGGGCAUCAGAUCUCCAGACUGGAGUUAUGGAUGGCUGAUGCUGUGUAGGACUGUCCUCCAAGCCGGGCACCCUCCACCAUAGGGAGUUCUGCUGGGCGUGCUGAUGCGUUCCCUUCUCUCACAGGAGGACGGGAUGGAAGGCCGUGGGACCCUCGCGACUAUCCAGCUGCCCUUCCCAAUCAGAUGUACGCAAUUCUACCCCAGUUGCCCGUGUCUUGGGGGAAGGCUAGAGGAUGUAAGUGUGAAGGCUGAGGGGAGGGGACUCCAUCCGUGACAGUGGUUCUCAACUUUCCUGAUGCUGUGACCCUUUAAUACAGUUCCUCAUGUUGUGGUGACCACCCCCAGCCAUAAAAUUAUUUUUGUUGCUACUUUGUAACUGUAAUUUUGCUUCUGUUAUGAAUUGUAAUGUCAAUAGCAGAUAUGCAGGAUACCUGACAUGUGAACCUCCCCAAAGGGGCCGUGACCCACAGGUUGAGAACCCCUGAUUUAGUCACAGGGAAGCUAUCAACUGUGCAGUGUACAGACCUUCUGUGGCUGCUCAUGGUCACCCAUGCUCUGUCUGUA